AAUCAACGCUGGCGGCGUGCCUCAGACAUGCAAGUCGAACGAUUAAAGCUCUCUUCGGAGAGUGUAUAGAGUGGCGCACGGGUGAGUAACACGUAAGUAAUCUACCCUCGAGUGGGGAAUAACGUCCGGAAACGGACGCUAAUACCGCAUAAUGCAGCGGCACCGCAAGGUGACAGUUGUUAAAGGAGAAAUUCGCUUGAGGAGGAGCUUGCGGCAGAUUAGCUUGUUGGUAAGGUAACGGCUUACCAAGGCUACGAUCUGUAACCGGUCUUAGAGGACGGUCGGUCACACUGACACUGAAUAACGGGUCAGACUCCUACGGGAGCAGCAGUCGGGAAUUUUGGGCAAUGGGCGAAAGCCUGACCCAGCAACGCCGCGUGAAGGAUGAAGUAUUUCGGUAUGUAAACUUCGAAAGAAUAGGAAGAAUAAAUGACGGUACUAUUUAUAAGGUCCGGCUAACUACGUGCCAGCAGCCGCCGCGGUAAG
rnacentral:rRNA from 1 species